AACUGGUCUUGCCAGAAGGAAGCAUUUUGUUUCUUUUCCUGUAGACCGUGGAGUUGAACUAAUACCUGGAACUAGAACAGGAUCCAGUGUGCUCCGUGAGAGGCAGGAACACUCAAUUAUCAUACUCUCAGUUGAAGCUGCUGUUCUACUUUUGCUCUGUUUCCUUGCUCUCAGGUGCAUCAAUGUGGUACAGAUAACAACUGGGAGUGAAGUUUGAGGCUGGCUGGAGUACAUCUGCUUCAUUGGGGUCACAAGGGCCAGGUGGUGUCUGUAGUAGAGAGAGACACAUCUUUGCCUCAGCCGUGGACAGCCAUGUAAUCAACAGGUGAAGGAGGAGAACCUUUGGUUUGUGGCGUCUUUUGUUUGGACUCUGGGCAAGCCUCUUCCUUCUUUGAGCUGAGUUGCAAGGCUAUGUUAAAUUACCCCACAAUCAGCUGAGCAGAGUGACUCGUGGGCCAGCAAAUGAGAGAAACCAAGCCAGGGGCCUAUGUAGGAGCAAGACUAUCUUGGGAAGCAAGUCUCAGGCUAGCUCCAAGAACAAUAGCUGCUUGUAAGGCAUCCAGUGAAGUCAGAACAGCUUAAGGCUUGUCUGGGAGCCCCAGCCAUGGAUUAAGACCCCAUUGUACUAGGUGCCGUACAAACAAAGAACAAAAGAUGGUCCCUGUCCAGAACAUGCCUAUAGGAACUGCUUCCUAAAAUGGCAGGAGGAUUUGAAGUAUCCCUACUGCUGCUUCUGAGUGGGCAGAUAAGAAAUCUUUACCAAAGAGCUCUGGUCUGUGCUUUGGAAAUUAUUUGUGCUUGGGUACUAUACAUGUUCAACAAUACAACUACUUCCAAAAAUUAAAGGAGAAGAUCUAUGAAGCAAGAGUUGCUGAACUAGCUGUGUCUUUGCAUGGCCCAAUCUUUGUUUUUAUUGGCAUGAUAGUAUUGCAGACUUUAGAAACUAGAAAGAGCAGAUCAAGUGUUUUAAUUUCUGUAAUGUAAGUUGUCAGGGUUGUUCCUCACUCUGGCACGAGUGCAGAAAGUAAGGGCCUGCAAGAGAGCUUCGAAACCUUGCCUCUACAGGCACUGGUUACAAAAAACUUCCCCACAGAAUCAUAAUAAUAUACAGAUUUUGGGGAAUCGCUGCCACCAUCAAGUGCUUUUUUAUCCCUAAAACACAAGGGUGAACACUUGAAAUCACUCCCAGGGAUACCCCAAGCUCUUUUGCUUCAAAAGAGCUUGAAAAAAGAAAAGAGAAAAACAAGCUGCAGUCUCUGGUAGCUGACCCCUCAGUCAGAGGCAUGCAGAUACACACAGACAGAUCUUCUGAGACAAGAAUCAAAUCAUCACCUUAAAAAAGUGAUUGAUUAUUGCAAAACAAAAGCUGAACUUGAUAAAGCAUACUUGGUUGCUAGAUGUUACAGAGCAACUAAAGAAAACAAAUUAAAACACAGAGAAAAGUCUCUGGGCGCAAUGUGAAGUAGUAAAUGUGGAGACGGGGCAUAGAUUCACACAGAAGUUCAAGCCAAACU